UCUCUACAAUAAUCGCUAGGAGUUCCAGUAAAUUUCCUGAACUCUUAUCGGUGUAGUAUAUUAACAACAAGAUCAAUCCGUAAUCCAUCAGUCGAGAUUAGGUGAUUGAAGUAAACGCAUCCACUAGAGGAAACAGCACCAUGAAAUUGACAAUUUUCUUCACUCUGAUUAUGCUACUGCUUGGAGUAGCCUUUGCAUUUCCACCUGAGGGUACUAUCCCCGCAGCAGAGACCAAGGCCGCAGAGAUUCAGGAUGUUGCGGUAGAUACCGCUAACCACAAGUCGUCUGAAGAUUCUAAUUCUUCUGAGGAUGAGCACAAAAACUGCCACAAGCCGAAUGCAUGAAGUCAUUACAGAUUGAGCUCAUGAAUAAAAUUUUGUUGAUUUUCUAACCAAUAACCAUUA